CCCAUACCCCGAAAAUGAUGGUUUAAUCCCUUCCCUUACUA
rnacentral:tRNA from 2 species